GUACUACUCCCUCCGUCCGAAAAUACUUGUCAUCAAAAUGGACAAAAAGGGAUGUAUUUAUAACUAAGAUACAUCUAGAUACAUCCCCUUUUAUUCAUUUUGAUGACAAGUAUUUUCGGACGGAGGGAGUACUUA
rfam:Triticum aestivum genome assembly, contig: Triticum_aestivum_CS42_TGACv1_scaffold_129798_2BL